UACCGUCGUCCAGGCCUCCGUCAGAGC
rnacentral:sRNA from 1 species